UACAGAGGGUGCAAGCGUUGUUCGGAAUUAUUGGGCGUAAAGGGCGCGUAGGCGGCGCGAUAAGUCAAAGGUGAAAUCCCUCGGCUCAACUGAGGAACUGCCUUUGAAACUGUCGAGCUCGAGGCCGGGAGGGGGUAGCGGAAUUCCCAGUGUAGCGGUGAAAUGCGUAGAUAUUGGGAGGAACACCAGUGGCGAAGGCGGCUACCUGGACCGGUUCUGACGCUGAUGCGCGAAAGCGUGGGUAGCAAACAGG
rnacentral:rRNA from 1 species